AUGUUGUUUUAUUAAUCUUGCUAAUUGCUAAAAGUGUUAAAGUUACAAAGAUGUCCAAAUAAGGACUGUGGAAAUUGAUUUUGUUCCAUUUUUAUAUUUCUUUAAUUGAUCAUUUUAUUCUAUAAACAUUGUGUGUUUCAUAUAUGCACUGAGCUAUUAUGUAGAAAUGAGGUGUUUAUGUUUGAGAGUGGAGAGUUACCAGUUUUUGUGUGUGUGCUGCAAGGAGGAAUUUAGGAAUUUACGACUGGUAUCGAUCAAGAUAAGAGAGAGGCCUGAGGGGGAAAGCAAACAGGCGACUAUGUCAUUAACUAAUGCCUUAAUGUUCACAGGAUAAAAUAUGCAAUGUAUUUCUUACUUAAUCAGUAUUAAUCAUUGAAUAAUUGAUGUAAUAAAUAUAAGAUGUUGUCUUUGAUAAAUUUGUAUUAACCAAUAAAAUGAAGGUUGCAUACAGAAUAACUUAAUGGGGGCAGGGCAGCUCAACCUUGAAGAAACAGAAUCUCCUGUGUGUAUGUAUGUGUGUGUAUGUAUGUAUGUGUGUGUAUGUAUGUGUGUGUGUGUGUGUGUGUGUGUGUGUGUGUGUGUGUGUGUGUGUGUGUGUGUGUGUGUUUUCUUUCCUAACAGAUGAUUUUAAUAAUGAUUAAAGUGUUUGCUUAGAGGUAGUAUUGCAGUAAAAGAUUUAAUAUGUGUUUAUCUAUCUAAAGAAUUUAAUGUGUGCCAUAUUCAUAUAACCAAUUUUACAAAUAAUGAAAUGAUGUCAUGAUAUUGAAAUAUGUUUUACAUAAUAAUCACUUUCAUCUUACAGCUUAUGUUUUUUAUAAAUGAAUGUUUUAUUAAUGAUUUGUUUUUAAGAAAGCAUUAUAACAUGCUAUUCAAAGUGGAGGAGUACUGGAGAGGAACUGCAGGGCUCCCAGGGAUGAGAGGAGAACAGAUUGUUUUUUCUUUGUCUAUGUGUGUCCAUCUUUGCCUACAGGCUAAAAUUGGGUGUGGUGAUGGAGUCAGAUGGACGAGGGGAACGGCCUUUGUGGGUGGAGAUUUUCUGAAGAAACAUCGACGUCACAUAUUUUAUAAAUAAGCAUGUUACUUCCUGAGCUGGUUGUUCGCUACUUGAGAGGACCCAGCGCUGUUAAACUUUUUCAUAUCUGAUCAAUAAAUAUUUGAACUUAGAGAUUUGUAUCUUGUGCCUUCCCUCUAAAUUACACGCAAUGGACGCCUUAAAGCCCAACAAUUGGUGACCGCCGACGUUUUGUGGAGGGAAAGGAGAGAGUGAGAGGAAGGAGGGUUUCACAUUGAAGAAACCAGAGUAAGGGAGGGCUCCAUUUCAACACAAAAGACCGGUCUUCUAAAAUAGAGGUAAGCAGAAACCUGUUAUAUCAAAUUCUGCUAUUGGACAUAUACCAAAUUACUUGUGUUGAUAAGGAGAUCCGAACUGAAUUACAAAUUUACAUUUUUGUAAAUUGAUCAGAGUGAAAAACUUUUAUUUUUAUAGAUAUUAAGAGAUUUAUUAAAAUUGGGUUUGAGGCCCUUAAUGUAUUAGACAUUAUAAAGUAAUAAGUUUGGGUUAGAGGCCUUUAAUGUACUAGACAUUAUAAAGUAAUAAGUUUGGGUUUGAGGCCCUCGGGUUAAAGUCCCGUAAAGGUAAAUUGUGGUUGGAGUCCAUUAAUGUAUUAGACAUUAUAAAGUACCAAGUGGGUUAAAGUCCCUCGGAUGCAAAUUCCGUAAAUUCUAAUUUUAAUCCGGAUAUUAUUUAAUCGCUUUCAACUUUCGCUAAAAAGACGGGUCAGUAGUCGCGCGGGUGAAACCCCUGAAAACUACUGGUGUAUAUAUUCUUUUGCUAGAUUAGAGUGACGUUUUGUGGUUUUUUGAAAUUCUGCAUGCUUGUAAAUUGUGUGAAAAUGGCUAAAUUCCAGAAAGAAUGUGAUGAGUAUGAGUGUCCAACAGUGUAUGUGUAUUUGCAAAAGAUUGUGAGGCUUAGGAUGGUCCGAACAGAUCGAAAUGCUUUUGUAUAUAGAGAAAAGACAAAAAGAGGUUGCAUUAGCGUGGAACACGUUGAGAGAAGAAAACUGUUGGGAGGCAGAGGAGAAAAAGAGAGUUCCUCUCACGCCUAUUAUUUUUGCCAUGGAACAUAGACUGGUAAACAAAAUUAAGACUGUAAAAGCAGAAGGAAAAGUGGUUUGGUAAAGGACCAAAUGUGACAAGCUUAGAGAAAGAGUUGAGAAUUCAGACGAGAUUAGCUCUGGUUGCUGCUGUCAUGCAGGCUAUUAAAUCAAAUAGAAAAAGGGGAAGUUAGCAGUGGUGCAGCUGCAAAGCAAAAGGAAGUUAAACAAGGAAACAGUCAGCCAGACUCAAGUGUGACAACUACGGCUCCUCCUCCAGUUCCACCCCCAGUGAAAUUGAUCUACCCCUCCUUGCACACACCUACUCCUUAUGAGAAAGCCAAAGCCCAAUGAAACAGCCCGUUUUUCAAAUCAAUAGCGGUGAAUUAAAUGUAGAUGUAGAUUUUAUUUGUGUGAAAAUGUAGUGUGUCUGUGAUAUAAUGGGUCUGUUAAAACCAUAAAUGGGAUUAAGCAAAACCUAGCAGAAAGACAGAAGCGGAGCUUUGAAAGAAAAAACAACAAAUUACAGAAAAGAGUAGAGACCAAGUUAUUAAAGGUGGAAAUAAAGAUGAAAAAAAAAAAAAAAAAGGACAGAAAAUUGUUAAAAGGUGAAUGAAACAGAUAGAUUGUAUAAAGGAAAAAAAGAUUUAACAAAAUGAAGAGGAGUCUUCAUCUGAUGAUGGAAGGUGGUCACAAGAUAAAUUUUAUUUUUAAAUUGAAAGGCAAUAUUUUGCAUGGGUCAAGCUGAAACCUUGUGGGCUGAUUAUUCCCAUCCUUUGACAUUCAAGAAAGUGAAUAAAAGCUGGCAAUGAAAAGACAGUGGCAAAAACUGUGUGUGACAUCAAAGUGUUGGAGUUACAAAGAGAGAAGUAACUCAUAAACUGGACUGAGAACACAUUCUAUUUGAAUGGGACUAUACUUAAACUCAAGCAGUGAAGGGGGCACUGCAUAUGGUCAGAGACAAUUACAAGGAUGAAACACCAAAAAGACUGAGUGGAAUCCAGAAAGAUUCAUAAAGAUAAUAAUGUUCUUGGAGGAAAGAGAAACUGGACAAUACUUCACUGGACACUGAACUUUUUCAUCUUCAUACGAGCCUUUGAGUGAAAAGGGGGAAAGAGUAAACAGCCGUUCAAUGCUUAGUAAAGACCUUGUUACUAUAGGGACACAGACAAUCUUUAUGAGAAAAUCAGCUAGACAAAUUUAAAGGCUGAUAAAGAACUUUGUUGUUAGGUGUGACUACCUGUUCUGAAAUCAAAUCAGACUCCUAUUAAUCUGACAGGAAGAAAUGCAUAAUUGAAUUUGGUAUCUACAGAGGAAGUCAGAAUUCCACUGAUGGUACUGAGCUAAAAAGUAAAUAUAUAUGGCAUAGAACAGCUAUGGCAGAAAGGAUAUUAAAAUAGAUAAAAGAAAUAAAUUGAAAAAGAAAAAAGAACACCAUAGAACACUAUAAAAGGUAAACAAGAAAAGCUGUGACAAUAGAAAAAAUAACUGAUUAUUGUAACAAACUUUGUAUAUAAGGAAAUUGCCAGCCCAGACAUCAUAUAUGUGCAUGAAGGUGUUCACAUGGCAGAUCUAAUCACUGAGGGUGAGCCAAAUGAUUGGAUACCAUUGACUGAUAUACAAAUUAUUAUUAUUGUAAUUAAUUGUAUUUGUUAUACCAUUGACUGAAAAAGCAAAUAUAUUGAGAGAUGGUUUGUUCGCGGUACCACUGACAACUCCCCCACCGUUAAACACACUGUUUACAGAUGGUUGUUGUUUCAGAGCAGCAGAUGACACAUUGAAGGCAGGCUUUGCUGUGGUUGAGCAAGUUGUGGGUGAUUUUGUAACACGACUGAGUGGUAGAUUGAAAGGUAAACGGUCAGCACAGAGAGCUGAAAUUACAGCUGUUAUCAAAGCCUUGCACUACACUGGUGAAGAGAGGGUGAUUGUUUAUAGUGAAUCUGCAUAUGUGAUUGGUGCAGUAUAUAUGGAACUGCCAUAUGGCAGAUAGGUGGGUUUGAAACCAGGAAAGGCCGGCCUAUAGUAAAUGCUAGCAAAGCCUGACACAUACUACAGGCUGUGAAGGUACCUAAUGAAGUGGCUGUUGUCAACUGCCUAAUAAACCACUUAUAUCCCCAACCAUGGUUUCCCAAGACAAAGUUAGAUCUGACAUACUGACAAACACGUAAUGGAAUUGACAAAUAGUUUCGGGGCUGCUUAUCACCCCAAUGUUACAGUAAUGCUGAAAUAGUGAACCUGACUUUGACAUUACAACUUGACUUGACAAAAUCUGUGCACAGACAAAAAUAACAUGGCUUGAGGCAUUAUCAAUUGCAUUAAUGUCUAUUCGUUAUUCUGUUAACAGGAUUUCUGGUUUCACAACCUUUGAAUUGCUUACAGGUCGACAGUUUCCAGGUCCAAGGCAUGACGUGGUGCAGGAUCCCAUCCUGCCUAUAACACAUGACGUUUCAUCUGACAAACUAACUGCUAUGAUUGAACAUUUUUCUUGCCAGGCUACCAAACAACGAAAUUGUGAGAACGACCCAGCUGUUAAAACUGAUGAUUGGGUUUCUAACAGACACAGGUGUGGACCUGAGGACUCAGGUCCAAGAGAGGGAAAGUGUUGAAAGUGAAAGUGAAUCAGCUGGAAUACAGAGAGGACAAACAGGAAGUGGUAACACAUCAGUGGUAACACUCACACAACACUAACAACAAAGUCAACAAACUCUGUAAAAUUGUGCAUAAAAGAGGUGACAUUUUUUCCAGCCCAGUAACAGAACCCCUAGCACACUGUGUGAGCACAGAUUGUGCCUACGGAGCAGGUAUAGCCGUACAAUUCAAAGUGAAGUACGGUACACAAAAGGUUGUAAGACAGAACAAACACACAGGUGAAUGUGCAGUUACCCAUGCGGACGACGGCAGAUUGAUUUUUCAUUUAAUAACAAAACAAAAUUGUACUGAUUUACCAACAUAUGAGAAUUUUACCUACAGCCUCAGAUGUAUGAGAGAGUGGUGUGAGAAAGAAAACAUAACAAGUGUAUCCACUCCCCGGCUGGGGUGUGGCCUGGAUAAAUUGGAUUUCCACAAAGUGCUGGAAAUCCUGACAGAAGUGUUUAGAGACCUGAAUAUCACAAUUACCAUAUAUUCAUUAUAACCUGGAGAUGAAGCUAUAUGGAAAUUGGAAGGUUCUGUGGGCCCUAGGAGUUAUAACUGCAAUUAUAAUCACCAUAAUAUUUGGCAUAAACAAUGGAGAUCCCUGUGUAACAGACUGAUAGUGUCUGCAAUAGAGAAAAAAGAAAAUCCACCCAAAUACAGCAUGCGCUAUUAGGCCUACAGAACCUGGAGGAUGAUGAGGAGAAAAUGUGUGACCUCUUUCAGAGGUCAAGAGAGGGAAUUGUGGGAUUUUUAUGUUGUUUUAUUAAUCUUGCUAAUUGCUAAAAGUGUUAAAGUUACAAAGAUGUCCAAAUAAGGACUGUGGAAAUUGAUUUUGUUCCAUUUUUAUAUUUCUUUAAUUGAUCAUUUUAUUCUAUAAACAUUGUGUGUUUCAUAUAUGCACUGAGCUAUUAUGUAGAAAUGAGGUGUUUAUGUUUGAGAGUGGAGAGUUACCAGUUUUUGUGUGUGUGCUGCAAGGAGGAAUUUAGGAAUUUACGACUGGUAUCGAUCAAGAUAAGAGAGAGGCCUGAGGGGGAAAGCAAACAGGCGACUAUGUCAUUAACUAAUGCCUUAAUGUUCACAGGAUAAAAUAUGCAAUGUAUUUCUUACUUAAUCAGUAUUAAUCAUUGAAUAAUUGAUGUAAUAAAUAUAAGAUGUUGUCUUUGAUAAAUUUGUAUUAACCAAUGAAAUGAAGGUUGCAUACAGAAUAACUUAAUGGGGGCAGGGCAGCUCAACCUUGAAGAAACAGAAUCUCCUGUGUGUAUGUAUGUGUGUGUAUGUAUGUAUGUGUGUGUAUGUAUGUGUGUGUGUGUGUGUGUGUGUGUGUGUGUGUGUGUGUGUGUGUAUGUGUGUGUGUGUGUGUUUUCUUUCCUAACAGAUGAUUUUAAUAAUGAUUAAAGUGUUUGCUUAGAGGUAGUAUUGCAGUAAAAGAUUUAAUAUGUGUUUAUCUAUCUAAAGAAUUUAAUGUGUGCCAUAUUCAUAUAACCAAUUUUACAAAUAAUGAAAUGAUGUCAUGAUAUUGAAAUAUGUUUUACAUAAUAAUCACUUUCAUCUUACAGCUUAUGUUUUUUAUAAAUGAAUGUUUUAUUAAUGAUUUGUUUUUAAGAAAGCAUUAUAACAUGCUAUUCAAAGUGGAGGAGUACUGGAGAGGAACUGCAGGGCUCCCAGGGAUGAGAGGAGAACAGAUUGUUUUUUCUUUGUCUAUGUGUGUCCAUCUUUGCCUACAGGCUAAAAUUGGGUGUGGUGAUGGAGUCAGAUGGACGAGGGGAACGGCCUUUGUGGGUGGAGAUUUUCUGAAGAAACAUCGACGUCACAUAUUUUAUAAAUAAGCAUGUUACUUCCUGAGCUGGUUGUUCGCUACUUGAGAGGACCCAGCGCUGUUAAACUUUUUCAUAUCUGAUCAAUAAAUAUUUGAACUUA